rnacentral:rRNA from 1 species
GCUAAUACAUGCGCACAUACCUCUUCCCUCGUGGAAGGGUAGUGUUUAUUAGAUACAGAACCAACCCACCUUCGGGUGGUCCCCAGGUGAUUCAUAGUAACCGAACGGAUCGCAUUAUGACCUUUUGGUCGGCGAUGGAUCAUUCAAGUUUCUGACCUAUCAGCUUUCGACGGUACUGUAUUGGACUACCGUGGCAGUGACGGGUAACGGGGAAUUAGGGUUCGAUUCCGGAGAGGGAGCCUGAGAAACGGCUACCACAUCUAAGGAAGGCAGCAGGCGCGCAAAUUACCCAAUCCUGACUCAGGGAGGUAGUGACAAGAAAUAACAACACUGGAAAUUAUAUUUCUAGUGAUUGGAAUGAUGGGAAUCCAAACCCCUUUCAGAGUAACAAUUGGAGGGCAAGUCUGGUGCCAGCAGCCGCGGUAAUUCCAGCUCCAAUAGCGUAUAUUAAAGUUGUUGCAGUUAAAAAGCUCGUAGUUGGAUAUCUGCUGGAAGCAGCCAGUCCGCCCUUUGUGGGUGUGCACUUGGUGAAUUCUGGCAUCCUCCUGAUUGGUGUCAUCAUCACUUCAUUGUGUUGGUGGCAGCUGUCAGGACCGUUACUUUGAGAAAAUUAGAGUGUUUCAAGCAGGCUUGUUGCCUUGAAUACUGCAGCAUGGAAUAACAAGAUAGGAUUUCGGUUCUAUUUUGUUGGUUUCUAGGACUGAAGUAAUGAUUAAUAGGGACAGUUGGGGGCAUUCGUAUUUAACUGUCAGAGGUGAAAUUCUUAGAUUUGUUAAAGACGAA